GUCACUGGGGGAGCCAGACCUGCGUGUAGAAUAAGAUGAAACUGCUGGGCCUCCUCCUGUGCCUGCUGACAUCCCCUCAGGGUGUCUGGUCCCAGGUGCAGCUGCAAGAGUCAGGCCCAGGACUGGUGAAGCCCUCGCAGACCCUCACCCUCACCUGCACUGUCUCUGGUGACUCCAUUACCAAUAGUAACUGGUGGAGCUGGAUCCGCCAACCCCCAGGGAAGGGGCUGGAGUGGAUCGGGAGAAUAAAUAGUGGUGGAAGCACUCACUACAGCCCGUCCUUCAAGAGCCGAGCCUCCAUCUCCACAGACACGUCCAAGAACCAGUUCUCCCUGCAGCUGAGCUCCAUGAGCACCGAGGACACAGCUGUGUAUUACUGUGCAAGAGACACAGUGAUGGGAA